GAUCAUGGCUCAGAUUGAACGCUGGCGGCAUGCUUUACACAUGCAAGUCGAACGGCAGCACAGGGAGCUUGCUCCCGGGUGGCGAGUGGCGUACGGUGAGUAAUACAUCGGAACGUGUCCUAUUGUGGGGGAGUAACUGCUCGAAAGGGUGGCUAAUACCGCAUGAGACCUGAGGGUGAAAGCGGGGGAUCGCAAGACCUCGCGCAAUUGGAGCGGCCGAUGCCCGAUUAG
rnacentral:rRNA from 1 species